rnacentral:rRNA from 1 species
UACGUAGGUGUCAAGCGUUGUCCGGAUUUAUUGGGUUUAAAGGGUGCGUAGGCGGCUUUGUAAGUCAGUGGUGAAAUAUGGCAGCUCAACUGUCAGGGUGCCAUUGAUACUGCGGAGAUUGAGUACAGAUGAGGUAGGCGGAAUUGACGGUGUAGAGGUGAAAUGCUUAGAUAUCGUCAAGAAAAAAGAUAGAGAAGGAAGCUUACUGGGCUGUAACUGACGAUGAGGAACGAAAGUGUGGGGAUCAAACAGG